GACGUAGGGGGCCAGCGUUGUUCGGAAUUACUGGGUGUAAAGGGUUCGUAGGCGGUGCGGCAAGUUGGGAGUGAAAUCUCUGGGCUUAACCCAGAGGCUGCUUCCAAAACUGCUGUGCUUGAGUGUGGGAGAGGCGCGUGGAAUUGCAGGUGUAGCGGUGAAAUGCGUAGAUAUCUGCAGGAACACCGGUGGCGAAGGCGGUUCUCUGGGCCUUACCUGACACUGAGGAGCGAAAGCGUGGGGAGCGAACAGG
rnacentral:rRNA from 1 species